rnacentral:rRNA from 1 species
CAGCAGCCACGGGAAUACGAAGGGUGCAGGCGUUACUCGGAAUUACUGGGCGUAAAGCGUGCGUAGGUGGUGGUUUAAGUCCGUUGUGAAAGCCCUGGGCUCAACCUGGGAAUUGCAGUGGAUACUGGGUCACUAGAGUGUGGUAGAGGAUAGUGGAAUUUCCGGUGUAGCAGUGAAAUGCGUAGAGAUCGGAAGGAACAUCUGUGGCGAAGGCGACUAUCUGGGCCAACACUGACACUGAGGCACGAAAGCGUGGGGAGCAAACAGGAUUAGAUACCCGCGUAGUCCCUGUCUCUUAUAA